UACGGAGGAUCCAAGCGUUAUCCGGAUUUAUUGGGUUUAAAGGGUGCGUAGGUGGCUUUUUAAGUCAGGGGUGAAAUACGGCAGCUCAACUGUCGCAGUGCCUUUGAUACUGAAGAGCUUGAAUAACGUUGAAGAUGGCGGAAUGAGACAAGUAGCGGUGAAAUGCAUAGAUAUGUCUCAGAACACCGAUUGCGAAGGCAGCUGUCUAAGCGUUUAUUGACACUGAUGCACGAAAGCGUGGGGAUCAAACAGG
rnacentral:rRNA from 1 species